GACGAACGCUGGCGGCGUGCUUAACACAUGCAAGUCGAACGGUGAAGGGGUCUGCUUUUGUGGGCCCUGGAUGAGUGGCGAACGGGUGAGUAACACGUGAGUAACCUUCCCCCUUCUUCUGGAUAACCGCAUGAAAGUGUGGCUAAUAAGGGAUAUUCUUGGUCUGUCGCAUGAUGUGUCUGGGAAAGGUUGCGCCGUUGGGUGUUGUUGGUGGGGGAUUGGCUCGCGGGCUAUCGGCUUGUUGGUGCGGUGAUGGCUUGCCAAGGCGGGGCUGAGCAGGCGGCUGGAGGGGGGCGGGGCUGACAGGGGGACUGGGCCCCGGGCGAGUGUCCUACGGGCGGCAGCAGUGGGGGAUAUAGCACAGGGGGCGAAAGCAUGAUGCAGCGACGCCGGGUGAGGGAUGGCGGCCUUCGGGUUGUAGACCUCUUUCGCGAGUGCAGCAGGCCUGCGCCUUGUGGGUGGGUUGACGGUAGCUGGAUAAGAAGCGCCGGCUAACUACGUG
rnacentral:rRNA from 1 species